GAUGAACGCUGGCGGCGUGCUUAACACAUGCAAGUCGAACGGGAAUUAUUUUAUUGAAACUUCGGUCGAUUUCAUUUAAUUCUAGUGGCGGACGGGUGAGUAACGCGUGGGUAACCUGCCUUAUACAGGGGGAUAACAGUCAGAAAUGGCUGCUAAUAUUGCAUAAGCGCACAGAGCUGCAUGGCUCAGUGUGAAAAACUCCGGUGGUAUAAGAUGGACCCGCGUUGGAUUAGCUGGUUGGUGGGGUAACGGCCCACCAAGGCGACGAUCCAUAGCCGGCCUGAGAGGGUGAACGGCCACAUUGGGACUGAGACACGGCCCAGACUCCUACGGGAGGCAGCAGUGGGGAAUAUUGCACAAUGGGGGGAACCCUGAUGCAGCGACGCCGCGUGAAGGAAGAAGUAUCUCGGUAUGUAAACUUCUAUCAGCAGGGAAGAUAGUGACGGUACCUGACUAAGAAGCCCCGGCUAACUACGUG
rnacentral:rRNA from 1 species